rnacentral:rRNA from 1 species
AACUUGAGAGUUUGAUCCUGGCUCAGAACGAACGCUGGCGGCAGGCUUAACACAUGCAAGUCGAGCGCCCCGCAAGGGGAGCGGCAGACGGGUGAGUAACGCGUGGGAAUCUACCCAUCUCUACGGAACAACUCCGGGAAACUGGAG